UCGCGUGGUCUUGAGUCUUGUUACGCCUCGCUGGAUCGUGUUCAGUCAUGCCGUCCUUGCGCGGCGUCAUUGUCGGCGAGUCAGGUUAAAUUCUUUAAUAGGUCGCGCCUGCGCCUAAUUGAGUCUAUUAAAGACUGCACAUUCAGUUUUGCUGGCUACAAUUCAGUGUGGCUGGCGUGGGCUGUCUCCACGAUGCGCUUCGAGCGUGUCGAUUUCGCCGUUCUUUAUGUUGGCGGAAAUGACCGUGAAAGCAACAUGGAUCUACAAGAAAUAUGCAACAACAUCAAGGCCUUGAUUGUUCAGCGAGACGGCGCCCGUCGUGCUGGUUUUCAAGGUGCUCUCUCGCUGGCUAGAAGAUGCUGAUGCGGAACAGAAAAUGCAAAAACGUCGCUUGCUCAACCGCAAAUUGACGGCUACGCUGAAGCGCAUGCCGUGUCUGCGGAAUUUGAACCCCGAGGCACGUUCACACUGAAGACGGAGCGGCUAAACCGGGCAAAGCUCUUGGCCAGGCGGAUAAAAGCAGGCGUUAAACGAGGCAGCAAGCCCGAUCGCUCGCGGACCACUUUUUUUCCUGCCCGCCAGAGCUGUCCGCUUUGCUGCAGCCAAUUGGAACACCAGACGACGCUGGCGUGUGCGCGAUAAGGAUGGACGACCGGUGCCACGAGACGGCGACAAGUGCACCACAAAAACCUUUCCAGAGUUCCUUGGAAAAUCCUCCCAUGCACCUGCCAUGUACAUUGCCCCCCCCCUCCUCGAUGUGGCAUGCAAGAUGGCAGCAGCAGCUGUGGAACAGUUGAAGAGGCGAAGAAAGGUCCACAUUAUAAUAGGUUGUAUGUAAAUAAAACUGAUCGAACACAACC